rnacentral:ncRNA from 1 species
AGGUGCCUGUCCCCAGGGGCAGGAUAAUAGGGAACAGGGUGGAAAUCCCUGACGGUCCCGCCGCUGUAAGAGAAGAGCCUUAUGGAAAGCCCGUGGAGGGCAAAACGUCACUGGCAGCAAAAUGCCGGGAAGGCAAAGCCUAAGGCUGUGACGCUCAAGUCAGAAGACCUGCCUUUUUCC